GGAAGGGACCAGAGAGCUAUGAAAGAGGCGAAGGAGAAGAUCCACAGUGAAGCCUGCAUGUCCACAUUUGGUAUGACCAGGAUAUGUGAGUGGACUCUGACUGAAGAAGCAGAUACCCUGAUAGAAUGGUGGACAUCAAUUGAAGAUUCAGUGUCAGCACUAGCUAUGGAGGCGGAGCAAGAUGGCGGAAG